rnacentral:tRNA from 1 species
CCCUGGGUGGCUCAAAUGGUUAAGCAUUUGACUACUAGCCAAAAGGUUGGUGGUUCGAACCCACCCAUAGGCG